rnacentral:rRNA from 3 species
CAGGCCUAACACAUGCAAGGUCGAGGGGCAGCAUUUCUAGCUUGCUAGAAGAUGGCGACCGGCGCACGGGUGAGUAACGCGUAUGCAACCUACCUUAUACUGGGGAAUAGCCCAGAGAAAUCUGGAUUAAUACCGCAUAAUAUGUUUGAAUCGCAUGGUUUAAAUAUUAAAACUCCGGUGGUAUAAGAUGGGCAUGCGUAGCAUUAGUUAGUUGGUGAGGUAACGGCUCACCAAGACAAUGAUGCUUAGGGGGUCUGAGAGGAUAGUCCCCCACACUGGUACUGAGACACGGACCAGACUCCUACGGGAGGCAGCAGUGAGGAAUAUUGGUCAAUGGGCGCAAGCCUGAACCAGCCAUGUCGCGUGCAGGAUGACGGCCCUAUGGGUUGUAAACUGCUUUUUUACAGGAAUAAUUGUCGCUACGUGUAGUGAUUUGAAUGUACUGUAUGAAUAAGGAUCGGCUAACUCCGUGCCAGCAGCCGCGGUAAUACAAGGGC